CUAAUACAGAGUUAGCUCCUUCUAUGGCAGUUUCUACCAGAGUGUGUUUUGUAUUUGUUUAAUUUGCACUAUGCCCUGAGCUAACUUGGGUUGCUUUGAAGGUGGUGUAUUUUUCAUUGUUAUUUAUUUUAUUAUUCUUAUUUGUUAAUGAAAGGGGCUGCAGUUCUAGAAAUACAGCUAGUGAAAACAAGAAUGAAUUGGAAUGGUCAUCUAGGUUACUAAGAAUUUGAGCCAAUAAUUUAAAGCCAUUGUGACACACAGCUAGACUAGAAUUCUCCACCUCCCUGAAAGGGGAUUGUCAUGUAACUGAGUUCUAGCCCAUAGGAAGAGGGAGGGAGUGAUGCCUGCUAUCUCAAAGCUACAGGAACAAUUCCCGUGCAUGUUCCUUCAUGCUCCUCCCUCUGGAUGGCCGAAACAAGAAGACUCCCAAGGGACACUGAAGCCACACGCUAAAGAUGGAGAGCCUCCAUCAACCUGAAUUCCUGAAGGACUGAAUGGAAGAAGGCCACCCUCCCAAUCUGCUCACCUCUCCAGCAUUGUUACAUAAGCAAGAAAUAAUCUCUCGUGUGUCAGCAAUUGUGUAACUUGGAUUCUGUUUAGUAAAGCGUUUAGCCAACUCUAACUUAUAUAAUA